rnacentral:rRNA from 1 species
AUUGAACGCUGGCGGCAUGCUUUACACAUGCAAGUCGAACGGUAACAGGCCUUCGGGUGCUGACGAGUGGCGAACGGGUGAGUAAUGCAUCGGAACGUGCCCAGAGGUGGGGGAUAACGCAGCGAAAGCUGUGCUAAUACCACAUGUGAUCUGAGGAUGAAAGCGGGGGACCAGGCAGCAAUGUUUGGCCUCGCGCCUUUGGAGCGGCCGAUGUCAGAUUAGGUAGUUGGUGGGGUAAAGGCCUACCAAGCCGACGAUCUGUAGCUGGUCUGAGAGGACGACCAGCCACACUGGGACUGAGACACGGCCCAGACUCCUACGGGAGGCAGCAGUGGGGAAUUUUGGACAAUGGGCGCAAGCCUGAUCCAGCAAUGCCGCGUGCGGGAAGAAGGCCUUCGGGUUGUAAACCGCUUUUGUACGGAACGAAAAGGCUCUGGCUAAUACCUGGGGCUGAUGACGGUACCGUAAGAAUAAGCACCGGCUAACUACGUG